AGGAGCUUAGGAUAACUUCAAACCGAGAGCCUUCAAAGCUCUAAAUAGGGAUUAACCCCCUAGUUCCUG
rnacentral:tRNA from 2 species